GUUGCUWCAACAAACCUUAUACAAUGGCGGUUCUUGAUAAUUAAAAAAACUCGCUCUAUAAUCGAAAAUACCCGCUAAAUUUCGCUUCUUCUCUAAAGCUUAUAUACCGCCGUUUCCAAAGCAAUAUCCAACCCCUUUUAAAUCUUCUCUUAACAAAAAUCAGGUCARGGUGUASCCUAUGAAGAAGAAAGAGUAAGCCAAAUAGUCAAUAUUCAAAAUCUCUCUUAAAAAUUUAUAUGUACAAAUAAAUUAAAAUUUUAUAUAGAAAUAAUAAUCAAGAAUGUACACAUCSCCG
rnacentral:rRNA from 1 species